GACAGAGGGUGCAAACGUUGCUCGGAAUUACUGGGCGUAAAGGGCGCGUAGGCGGACAGUUUAGUCAGAGGUGAAAGCCCCAGGGCUCAACCUUUGGAAUUGCCUUUGAUACUGGCUGUCUUGAGUUCGGGAGAGGUGAGUGGAAUGCCGAGUGUAGAGGUGAAAAUUCGUAGAUAUUCGGCGGAACACCAGUGGCGAAGGCGACUCACUGGCCCGAUACUGACGCUGAGGCGCGAAAGCGUGGGGGAGCAAACAGG
rnacentral:rRNA from 1 species